CGCAGCCCGCCGAGGCGCAGAGCCGCGCGCAGGCUGCACCUUGGCGCCUCCUCCCCCUCCCCGGACACACAGACGCACACGCAUAAACAAAUCCUGUCCUCCCUCCCCUGAUAUCCUCUUCUCCCCUUCGGGUGUUAAAAAGCAAAUCGGAUCAAUUUUCGUUUAACCCAGUGGAACACCAGAGGCUCGCCAUCCCGGGAGUUUGCGUCUUUGCGCCCCGCCGCGGCGCACUGUAGACCUUGGGUUAAGUCCCAUUUGUCAUUUUCUCCUCCAAAGGCUUCCUCCUGGUACUUUAUUUUUCUAAUCCGUGGUGGAUGGAGGAAGGUGGAUGGCGAAACAGAGCUGAAAGAGCUUUCAGUUCUAAUAUUUGCGUAAUCGGCCAGGUCACAUUCAUUUCAGCAUCCAGCCCCACUUCUGGUGGCUUCCCCAGCGACCUAAGGACAAUACAGACGGAGAUGUGGAGGGGGAGGACAACUGGAUACAGUUUCCUGGGACUUCUCCUUAUUGCUCUUCUGGAUUGAAUCCCUUGCUUUCUGGAUCCUGUGUGUUCCUCUUUCUUGUUUUACAUUUGCUACCUAAACAAAAGCCCAGCUGCAAUGCUGUAAGGGAGUCCAAGCCAUCCUGCUGGAGGGAGAGAUCAUAUGAAGAAACCAGCACAUGGAGAGAGAAAAAAGCCACCCGGAGUAGCACCGGGCCAUUGGACAGGGACCUGGGAACCAUCUCUUUGAAACGCCAGGCUUGAGGAAGAUGGUGCCCUUAUCUCCCUGUUUCUCUGGGAGGACAGACGCCUCCAAGCUGCAAAACUACCUCCUGUCAUAAAGAUUUCCCACGUUUCCCACUUUUCAGAUGUCUCCUGGUGGAAGCAUCUUUUCUCAAGCUUUGGGAAACUUGAGGACCUGUGACAUUAUGGAACCAGGAACUUAAGCCAGUGAGGCUUUUCCCAAGGGACGUAUUGAGAACUGAGCUGCCCUGAGCUGUUGACAUUUAGACAAAAAGCAGAGAAGGGGCGGCAAGGAGAGUCCAGAAGCAGGGAUAUGCACCUGGGCUGAUGUCAGAGCCUGGUCCAGACCCCAAGUUACAGGCCUGCCGAAAGACUGGAGAGAGCGGGGUUGAGAGGUUUUGAACAUACAGGAUUGCCUUCCAAAUACAUCCUCAGGCAAGAGAAGUAAGAUGCCAGAAACUCAUAUUAGGAAGCAAAAGAACUUCGAAAAGCUAUAACGCUGUGGGGGAAUUUUAAACAUUCACAUUUCCUAAACUAGUCUUUCUUCUGAGAAAUGACUUGUCUUUCAAAACCAUAUGGCAGGAGCACACUCAACGUAUAAUAAAAUCCUUGGUUUUGGUAAUUAUGAUGAAGCUGUCGCAGUGUUAAAUGAUGCCACCUGAUGGAUUGUGAACACGCAAGUGCCACCAUCAGCAAUAGCUGGGAGUUUAUUAUUUUUAACAAUCUCUGAAGGCCUGAGAAGGAAUGAAGCAAGUGCCAACGGUUGCUCUUGGCCAGCUUACGGCUCAGAGAAGAAAGAGGGAAUGAGGAGGAGGGCGAGGAGGAGGAGAAACAGGAUAAAGAGAAGAAAAUAAUAUGGAGAGGGGGCAGAAGAGAAUCUAUUUUUUUCUUUUGAUAAAAGUCAUUAUACUGUCAACAGAAGGUACUUUAAGUAGAGACUUGAUUUUUCAUGGAGCAGACACAGUUUGCGUGAAGAGACGGUCAUCUGUUGAGUGCCACCUCCUGGUACAAUCCCCUUUUGGAGCUAAGGGGUCAACA